rnacentral:rRNA from 1 species
UGGGGAAUAUUGCACAAUGGGCGCAAGCCUGAUGCAGCCAUGCCGCGUGUGUGAAGAAGGCCUUCGGGUUGUAAAGCACUUUCAGCGAGGAGGAAGGGUUCAGUGUUAAUAGCACUGUUCAUUGACGUUACUCGCAGAAGAAGCACCGGCUAACUCCGUGCCAGCAGCCGCGGUAAUACGGAGGGUGCAAGCGUUAAUCGGAAUUACUGGGCGUAAAGCGCACGCAGGCGGUUUGUUAAGUCAGAUGUGAAAUCCCCGCGCUUAACGUGGGAACUGCAUUUGAAACUGGCAAGCCUAGAGUCUUGUAGAGGGGGGUAGAAUUCCAGGUGUAGCGGUGAAAUGCGUAGAGAUCUGGAGGAAUACCGGUGGCGAAGGCGGCCCCCCUGGACAA